UACGUAGGCAGCAAGCGUUGUUCGGAAUUACUGGGCGUAACGGGUGCGUAGGCGGUCUUGUAAGUUUGGUGUGAAAUCUCCCGGCUCAACCGGGAGGGUGCGCCGAAAACUGCAAGGCUAGAGUACAGGAGAGGAGAGUGGAAUUCCUGGUGUAGCGGUGAAAUGCGUAGAUAUCAGGAGGAACACCGGUGGUGUAGACGGCUCUCUGGACUGUUACUGACGCUGAGGCACGAAAGCGUGGGGAGCAAACAGG
rnacentral:rRNA from 1 species